rnacentral:ncRNA from 2 species
GCGAAUGACACGGGGUGCUCGCGUACCGGCUGUGCCGGUGCGGGCGAGCUGAGAUCACACCCGUCGAACCUGAUCUAGUUCGUACUAGCGAAGGGAUGUCAUGAGAUGACUCA